rnacentral:rRNA from 1 species
ACGGAAGGCAGCAGUGGGGAAUAUUGCACAAUGGGGGGAACCCUGAUGUAGCAACGCCGCGUGAGUGAUGACGGUCUUCGGAUUGUAAAGCUCUGUCUUCAGGGACGAUAAUGACGGUACCUGAGGAGGAAGCCACGGCUAACUACGUGCCAGCAGCCGCGGUAAUACGUAGGUGGCAAGCGUUGUCCGGAUUUACUGGGCGUAAAGGGAGCGUAGGCGGAUUUUUAAGUGGGAUGUGAAAUACCCGGGCUCAACCUGGGUGCUGCAUUCCAAACUGGAAGUCUAGAGUACAGGAGGGGAAAGCGGAAUUCCUAGUGUAGCGGUGAAAUGCGUAGAGAUUAGGAAGAACACCAGUGGCGAAGGCGGCUUUCUGGACUGUAACUGACGCUGAGGCUCGAAAGCGUGGGGAGCGAACAGGAUUAGAUACCCUGGUA